rnacentral:rRNA from 1 species
GGGUCAGUAGGUUGGUCGUGCCACCGGUACGUACUGGUCUCACUGAUUCCUCCUUCCUGAAGAACCGUAAUGCCAUUAAUUUGGUAUUGCGGGGAAACAGGACUGUUACUUUGAAAAAAUUAGAGUGUUUAAAGCAAGCUAACGCCUGAAUACAUUAGCAUGGAAUAAUGAAAUAGGACGAUCGAUCCUAUUUUGUUGGUUUCUAGGAUUGACGUAAUGAUUAAUAGGGAUAUUGGG